GAUGAAGAACGCAGCGAAAUGCGAUAAGUAAUGUGAAUUGCAGAAUUCAGUGAAUCAUCGAAUCUUUGAACGCACCUUGCGCCCUUUGGCUAUUCCGAAGGGCAUGCCUGUUUGAGUAUCGUGAACACCUCAACUCUCAUGGUUUGCCAUGAUGAGCUUGGACUUUGGGGGAUUUGCUGGCCUUUGGUCGGCUCCUCUCAAACGGAUCAGCUUUCCAGUGUUUGGUGGCAUCACGGGUGUGAUAACUAUCUACGCCUGUGGUUUUCUGCCAGAUAACCUUCAGCGAUGGAGGUUCGCUGGGGCUCAUAAAUGUCUCUCUUCAGUGGAGACAGCUUUUUGGACGUUUGAUCUCAAAUCAGGUAGGACUACACGCUGAACUUAAGCAUAUCAAUAAGCGGAGGA
rnacentral:misc_RNA from 1 species